UUCUGUCUAGAGGAUCUGUCCAUUGAUGUGUGUUGGGUGUUAAAGUCUCCUACUCUCAUUGUAAUCCCAUGAGCUUCUCCUUUUAUGUCUGUUAGUAUUUGUUGUAGGUAUCCAGUGCUCCUAUAUUAGGGGCAUAUAUAUUGAUGAUUGUAAUGUCCUCUUCUUGAAUGGAUCCUUUAACCAUUAAAUAGUGUCCUUUGUCAUUGUUUAUGGCCUCCAUUUGAAAGUCUAUAUCAUCGGAUAUGAGUAUUGCAACUCCUGCUUUCCUCUCUCUUCCAUUGGCAUGAAAUAUCUUUUCCCAUCCCUUCACUUUCAAUUUAUAAGGUGGGUCUCUGUAGACAGCGUAUUGUAGGCUUUUGCUUUUUUAUCCAGUCUGUCACUCUGUGUCUUUUGAUUGGAGCAUUCAUUCCUCUGACAUUUAAAGCAAUUAUUGAAAAAUAUUUAUUGCCAUUUUAAACCUUGUUUUCCAGUUGAUUCUAUGUUUCUUCUUUGUUCUUUUCUUUUUAAUGGUUGGAUGGUUUCCUUUUAUUUUAUACUUGUAUACUUUUCUUUUUAGUUUUUGUGAAUGUAAUGUUUGGCUUUGAUUUGUGGUUGCCCUGUUUUUCCAGUAGGUUAUCUCCUUCCUAUAUCUGCUUGCUUUAGCCUAAUAGUCGUAUAGGCUCAAACACAUUCUUAAAAAAAAAAAAAAAAAAGAGUCUAGAUUUUCUUACUCUCCUUCCCCACAGUCUAUGAUUUUGAAGUCCUUUUUUAACAUCCUUAUGUUUGUGCUUUUGCUGUUCCUUGUGUUUAUUGUCACUUUUACAAUAGGUUUUUCUUUUUUCCAUUUUAGGUCUGUUUACUGGCUUAUUUAAGUGAUUGCUUUCCAAUUGUGAUUUCCUCUAUCCUAUUUCUUCUUCUUUUUUGAGUAGCCCAUUCAGUAUUUCUUUCAGAAUGGCUUUAGUAUUGCUGUACUCUUUUAGCUUUUUUUGUUGUUGUUGGAGAAAUUCUUUAUUUAUCCUAUCUUAAAUGAUAUUCUUGCUGGAUAGAGUAUUCUAGGCUGCAAAUUUUUUCCUUUUAGAACUUUGAAUAUAUCUUGCUGCUCUCUUCUGGCCUGUAGUGUUUCUGUAGAGAAAUCAGCUGAUAGCCUUAUGGGGGUUCACUUAUUAUUGAUGCUCUUUUUUUUUUUUUUUUCCCAUGCUGCCUUUAGAAUCCUCUUUAUCUUUAACUUUGCCUUUUUUAUUAUAAUAUGUCCUGGUGUGGGCCUGUUUAGGUUCAACUUGUUUGGGGCCCUCUGUGCUUCCUAUAUCUCGAUAGCUGUUUCCUCUGGAUUUGGAAAGUUUUCAGACUAAAUUUCUUCAAAUAUAUUUUCAAUCCCCUUUUCUUUUUCUUCUCCUUCUGGAAUCCCUAUUAUGUGUAGAUUGGCCUGCUUUCUAUUAUCCCGUAGGUCUCUUAUAUUGCUUUCAUGUUUUUUCAUUUGGUUUUCUGUCUGCUGUCCUGAUUGGGUGAUUUCCAUUAUUCUAUCUUCCACGUCACGGAUUCCUUCCUCUGCAUUAUUCAUCCUGCUCUUUCGUGCCUUUGGCCCAGUUUGCGUCUCUGCAAAUGAAUUUUCUAAUUUUUCUAUGUUCCUCCUUAUAUUUUCUAGUUCCUUUCUAAAAGGAAUCUGCAUCACUGUUGAUAUCCACCCUUAAUUCCUUCAUAUUCUCCCUUAAUUCCUUCAGUAUUUUUGCUGUCUCCCUUUUGGACUCAGUGUCUGUCACACUGCAGAGGUCUGUUUUCAUUGUUUGCUACUUCAGGUGAAUUGUCCUGUUCCUUUAACUGGGAGUGGUUUCUGAGCUGCUUCAUUUGGCUUAUAUUUUUCUUUUUCUGUGAGUUUAGGGAAACCAACUACUGUAGUCUCAGAGGGCUAUUUCUAUGCAAGAGCACCCCCUUUGUAUUUUGUGGGGGGUUACUGUUUAUUUUUGGCAUAGGAGUUUAUUUGCUGUUUCUUCAUUGUGAGCAGGCUGUUAUCCCCAGGGUGCUGAGUGUGUUUCCAGGGAGAAGGUGGCAAUGGGUAGGGCUAGUAGUCAGUGCCUGGUUGCUGGGCUCGAGACAGCAGUAAGCACCCAAGGACCUGCAGGAAGGAGGCACAGGCUACUCCUAGUUGCAGGGCCCUGGGAAGUGGUAGUGAGCCUAGGCAGAUUUACAGGGUGCCCAGAGCAAUUGGCAGUGGCAGCAGCAGGGUGUGUGAGUUCCCAGGGGAGUGACAGCAACAACAUGUGGUGUUUGGUUGCAGUGCCCUCCUCUGUGAUGCCCUCUGAGGUGACUGGGGCCACGACUGGUACCUUUUCACGGACCCCUGGUGGUGGUGGGAGGCCAUGCCCCUCUCUGGUGUCUGAGAUGACUGCUGUGGUUUGUCUCUGCCACCUACAGAACACGCAAGAGGUGCUGUGUCACACGUAGCCCCUGCUGCCCUUAGCACACACAAUGGGUGCCCGGUCUCCUAUAGCCUAUGCAAGUAGUUUCUCCCCACUGUAACCUGCACCAGAGGUGCCCUGGCCUCUGAGCGCCUGCAGUGAGCAGGCAGAUUCCUGUGGCGGGCCACCCUCCUCCUCUCGCCCUCCCAGCAAUGCUGCCUUGCUUUCCUGCAGGGCCCAGACCUCCUCCAGGUUCCCUCGGCUGUGGCUUUCUGCUCCCCAGCCCAUGGCGCACUGCUCCCUAGCCCCCCAGGCUGAAUCCACACAGCCAGCCGUAGUCCUCGGACCAGAACUGACCCCAGAGGAGCCUGAGUCUCAGCAUCCACCCCCUCUCCCGCCCCCAGCAUCUCAGGCUGUGGUGUCCAGGGCGGGGGUGCAGAUGAUCUGUGCCGCUCUCACUCGGCUCUGCCCUCCUCAGUCCAGCUGCCGCGUUUUCUCAGUGACUUUGAGGUCCCUCCAUCUCGGCCGACCUCCCCGUUGGUUAGGUGGCUUCCCAGGGUGGGUUCCUUUCCUCUUUCACGGUUCCGUCUCGGGAACGCGAGUCCCGUCCUGAGACCUUUCUCUCUCUCUCUUUUUUCUUUUGUUCAACCCAGUUAUGAGGAGGGUUUCUUGCCCUUUUUAGAGGUUUACGUCCCGCCAGCGCUCAGUAGAUGCUCCGUGCGGGUUGUUCUACAUGUAGACGUAUUUUUUUGAUGUCUUUGUGGAAGAAAGUGACUGUGACCUCUUCCUCCACCGUCUUGAUUAGCUCCUCCGGACACUGGCUAGAGUUCCCUGCGCUACACAGCAGGACCUUGUUGCUUAUGCAUCCUGUAGAUAAUAGUUUGCCAUUGCUAAUCCCAAAUUCCCAAUCCUCUCCCCUCGCCUCCUCCCCACUCCUUUGGCAACUCUAAGUCUGUUCUCUACUCAUGAGUGUUUUUGGUCUCAUAGAUAUGUCAAUUGGUGUCAUAUUUUAGUUUCCACAUAUGAGAGAUAUCACAUGGUAUCUUUCUCUUUCUGACUCCUCUUAGUAUGAUAAUCAAAGUCCACCCAUGUUGCCGCAAAAGACAGUAUUUCAUUCUCUUUCAAUGGCUGUGUAAUAUUCGAUUGUGUAUAUAUGCCCAGGAGUAGGAUUGCUGGAUGGAUCACUUGGCAACUAAAACCCAAUUUUAAGUACGAUUGGUGGAGGAUGAGGCUCGUGACAGUCCUACUGUGGCCUUGCAGCCAGUCGGAGCUGCCAUGACGCGAACUCAACCAGGCAUUCAUGCUGAUCAGAUUUGGUAACACAAUUAUAGCAAAACCAUUGUGACCCUUAAGCAAAAUGGAAUCACAUUAAAUUGCUCGUUGUUAGUGAUCAAUAAGAAGUCAGUAACUUAUAGUUAUUGAUUGCAUAAUACUCCCAGUGAGGAAGUGGGCAUCAAUCCAGUCAAGUUAUGAAUAAAGACAAAAGGGGGGAAAUUUGCCAGAAUUAAACUGACUGCUUUAUGACUUUUUCCCAGGCUCUCGGUCCUUGACCCUAGUCUUUUCUGGAAACAUGUUGGACGUUGAAUAAUAAGUAGAUGCACUAAAUAAUAAUAGUAGCAGUCCUGGUAGUAGCAUUUAACCGGAGGUAAGCUCUAUUCUAAACGCGUUGCUUGCAGAUUCACUUCUCUGUGGCAAGAGAUAGAAAUCCACCUCAAGCAAGCUGAACACACCCCCCAAAAUGGGAGGAAAGCUGUGGCUCACGUGGCAGGGAAGGGUUCUGGGCAGCUCAGGGAAUCCAAGGGGUCUUGGGGCUGGAGCCAGGGUUCAGCACUGCCAGGCUCGCUCUCCAUUAGCCUCGUUCCUGCUUGUCUCUUCCAGCUGCUGCUGCUGCUUUAGCCAGGCCUUGCGUGGUGGGGCGGGCAGUCGCCUGGAAACCCCACCGUGCAUCUGCCUUAAUCUGGGCUCCCCCAAGGCCGACUCCAAGAAAGGAGUUUGGGUGCACUGCUCUGUUUGGGAGCUGACCUCGAGGAGCAUGGUCGGGAGAGGGGAAGCGAGACAGGGGAGGGGAGGAUGCCCCCAAAUGGGUGUGUGGCUGGGCAGUCACCGCUGGAGCAGGUAGAGCCCAGUCCCACUGGAAUGACCCAGAAGGACGGUGCAGAGAACGCCUCAGGGUGUGCACCUGGAGCAAGGAAGCUGAGGGUUGAUCUGCCAGCUCCCCGCCCCAUUCUCUGGCACUGGGGACGCUGGCUCUCGAGCAGACCUGUCUGGCUCCCCGAGCCAAAGAAUGGCCCUAUGCAGAAGGACCCAGGACCCCCAUAUCGUGGGCAGGAACUGUCAGCAGGUGACCUCAAGGGUGGACCAGUGGGACAUGCUGGUGCGCUUAUAUCAUGCACGCCAACUCCUUCCAGCGCCAUGGCCCCCAAAGCAGUGUGGAGCUGCUUCUCUUCCGGCUCCCAUUCCAGCAAGCCCCGUGAGGAACCCUAAGCUAGCAGGCCCAAGUUACGUGCCCACUGUGGGCCAGUCAAGGGGCCAGAUGAGUGGAGGGCUGCUUCCUAGCAAGUGAAGUAGCUGCACCUGUUGGGAUGGGUCAGCUCCCCUUGGCCCUUUCUGCCACCCUCCCUGGUUGCCGAAACCUGUAUUCACUACAGAAGGGCUGAGUCAUAAGGAGAAAGGCAUUGACAGACACAACCGCCUGUUCUCCAGUUUUCAUCAACUUGAUCUCCCUGCAGAAAGAAAACAGUCAUUAUCAAAAAGCCAAUUGUCAGUGUUCCCAUCAUGGUGCAAUGGAAACAAAUCCCACUAGGAACCAUGAAGUUGUAGGUUCGAUCCCUGGCCUUGCUCAGGGGGUUAAGGAUCUGGUGUUGCCAUGAGCUGUGGUGUAGGUUGCAGACGCAACUCAGAUUUGGUGUUGCUGCAGCUGUGGCGUAGGCUGGCAGCUGUAGCUCUGAUUUGCCCCUUAGCCUGGGAACCUCCAUAUGCCAUG
rnacentral:lncRNA from 1 species